GUAUAUGGCCAUGCUAGCCUGAACAAGCCUGAUCCCAUCUGAUCUCAGAAGAUAAGCAUGGUUGGGCCUGGUUAGUACUCGGAUGGGAGACCACCUAGGAAGACCAGGUACUGUAGGCA
rnacentral:rRNA from 1 species